UUCCUUUUUGGGUAGGAGUUUGGAUCCUGGCUCAGAUUGAACGCUGGCGGCAGGCCUAACACAUGCAAGUCGAACGGUAGCACAGAGAGCUUGCUCUCGGGUGACGAGUGGCGGACGGGUGAGUAAUGUCUGGGAAACUGCCUGAUGGAGGGGGAUAACUACUGGAAACGGUAGCUAAUACCGCAUAACGUCGCAAGACCAAAGAGGGGGACCUUCGGGCCUCUUGCCAUCAGAUGUGCCCAGAUGGGAUUAGCUAGUAGGUGGGGUAACGGCUCACCUAGGCGACGAUCCCUAGCUGGUCUGAGAGGAUGACCAGCCACACUGGAACUGAGACACGGUCCAGACUCCUACGGGAGGCAGCAGUGGGGAAUAUUGCACAAUGGGCGCAAGCCUGAUGCAGCCAUGCCGCGUGUAUGAAGAAGGCCUUCGGGUUGUAAAGUACUUUCAGCGGGGAGGAAGGCGAUAAGGUUAAUAACCUCGUCGAUUGACGUUACCCGCAGAAGAAGCACCGGCUAACUCCGUGCCAGCAGCCGCGGUAAUACGGAGGGUGCAAGCGUUAAUCGGAAUUACUGGGCGUAAAGCGCACGCAGGCGGUCUGUCAAGUCGGAUGUGAAAUCCCCGGGCUCAACCUGGGAACUGCAUUCGAAACUGGCAGGCUAGAGUCUUGUAGAGGGGGGUAGAAUUCCAGGUGUAGCGGUGAAAUGCGUAGAGAUCUGGAGGAAUACCGGUGGCGAAGGCGGCCCCCUGGACAAAGACUGACGCUCAGUCAAAAAGUUUUCA
rnacentral:rRNA from 1 species